CCCGGAAGGGGAGUGAAAUAGAACCUGAAACCGUGUGCUUACAAGUAGUCAGAGCCCGUUAAUGGGUGAUGGCGUGCCUUUUGUAGAAUGAACCGGCGAGUUACGAUUUGAUGCAAGGUUAAGCAGUAAAUGUGGAGCCGUAGCGAAAGCGAGUCUGAAUAGGGCGUUUAGUAUUUGGUCGUAGACCCGAAACCAGGUGAUCUACCCUUGGUCAGGUUGAAGUUCAGGUAACACUGAAUGGAGGACCGAACCGACUUACGUUGAAAAGUGAGCGGAUGAACUGAGGGUAGCGGAGAAAUUCCAAUCGAACCUGGAGAUAGCUGGUUCUCUCCGAAAUAGCUUUAGGGCUAGCCUCAAGUGAUGAUUAUUGGAGGUAGAGCACUGUUUGGACGAGGGGCCCCUCUCGGGUUACCGAAUUCAGACAAACUCCGAAUGCCAAUUAAUUUAACUUGGGAGUCAGAACAUGGGUGAUAAGGUCCGUGUUCGAAAGGGAAACAGCCCAGACCACCAGCUAAGGUCCCAAAAUAUAUGUUAAGUGGAAAAGGAUGUGGCGUUGCCCAGACAACUAGGAUGUUGGCUUAGAAGCAGCCAUCAUUUAAAGAGUGCGUAAUAGCUCACUAGUCGAGUGACACUGCGCCGAAAAUGUACCGGGGCUAAACAUAUUACCGAAGCUGUGGAUUGUCCUUUGGACAAUGGUAGGAGAGCGUUCUAAGGGCGUUGAAGCAUGAUCGUAAGGACAUGUGGAGCGCUUAGAAGUGAGAAUGCCGGUGUGAGUAGCGAAAGACGGGUGAGAAUCCCGUCCACCGAUUGACUAAGGUUUCCAGAGGAAGGCUCGUCCGCUCUGGGU
rnacentral:rRNA from 1 species